UAGAGGAGCUUUCUGUACAGGUUGAAGUCAUACCGUAAGGAGUGGUGGACAGUACAGAAGUGAGAAUGCUGGCAUAAGUAGCGAAAAACAAGUGAGAAUCUUGUUGACCGAAUAUCUAAGGUUUCCUGGGGAAGGCUCGUCCUCCCAGGGUUAGUCGGGACCUAAGCCGAGGCCGAAAGGCGUAGGUGAUGGACAACUGGUUGAUAUUCCAGUACCACCAUAAUGCGUUUGACAAAUGGGAUGACGCAGGAGGAUAGGAUGUGCGCACUAUUGGAUGUGCGUCUAAGCACUUAGGGUGUUAAGUAGGCAAAUCCGCUUAACAUUAAGCCUGAGGUGUGAUGGGGAGCCUAUUUUGGCGAAGUAUCUGAUUCCACGCUGCCAAGAAAAGUCUCUAUGGAGCAAAGUGGUGCCCGUACCGCAAACCGACACAGGUAGAUGAGGAGAGAAUCCUAAGGUCGUCGGAAGAAUUAUUGCUAAGGAACUCGGCAAAUUGACCCCGUAACUUAGGGAGAAGGGGUGCCUACGAGAGUAGGCCGCAGUGAAUAGGCUCAAGCAACUGUUUAUCAAAAACACAGGUCUCUGCUAAAGCGUAAGCUGAUGUAUAGGGGCUGACGCCUGCCCGGUGCUGGAAGGUUAAGGGGAAUAGUUAGCGCAAGCGAAGCUAUGAACUUAAGCCCCAGUAAACGGCGGCCGUAACUAUAACGGUCCUAAGGUAGCGAAAUUCCUUGUCGGGUAAGUUCCGACCCGCACGAAUGGCGUAAUGAUUUGAGCACUGUCUCGGCAAUAAAUCCGGUGAAAUUGUAGUGCAAGUGAAGAUGCUUGCUACCCGCGGUUGGACGGAAAGACCCCGUAGAGCUUUACUGUAGCUUAGCAUUGAAUUUCGGUAUUGUCUGUACAGGAUAGGUGGGAGACUUAGAAGCGAGGGCGUCAGCUUUCGUGGAGUCGUCCUUGGGAUACCACCCUGACAGUACUGGAAUUCUAACUGGAGGCCAUGAAUCUGGUCACAGGACAUUGCUAGGUGGGCAGUUUGACUGGGGCGGUCGCCUCCUAAAAGGUAACGGAGGCGCCCAAAGGUUCCCUCAGCGCGGUCGGAAAUCGCGCGUAGAGUGCAAAGGCAGAAGGGAGCCUGACUGCGACACAUACAGGUGGAGCAGGGACGAAAGUCGGGCUUAGUGAUCCGGUGGUUCUGUAUGGAAGGGCCAUCGCUCAACGGAUAAAAGCUACCUCGGGGAUAACAGGCUGAUCUCCCCCAAGAGUCCACAUCGACGGGGAGGUUUGGCACCUCGAUGUCGGCUCGUCGCAUCCUGGGGCUGUAGUCGGUCCCAAGGGUUGGGCUGUUCGCCCAUUAAAGCGGCACGCGAGCUGGGUUCAGAACGUCGUGAGACAGUUCGGUCCCUAUCCGCCGUGGGCGUAGGAAAUUUGAGAGGAGCUGUCCUUAGUACGAGAGGACCGGGAUGGACCAACCUCUGGUGCACCAGUUGUUCCGCCAGGAGCACAGCUGGGUAGCUAUGUUGGGAAGGGAUAAACGCUGAAAGCAUCUAAGCGUGAAGCCCACCUCAAGAUUAGAUUUCCCAUAGCGUAAGCUAGUAAGACCCCUGAAAGACUAUCAGGUUGAUAGGUUGGAGGUGUAAGUACAGUAAUGUAUUCAGCUGACCAAUACUAAUAGGUCGAGGGCUUGAUCAA
rnacentral:ncRNA from 1 species